CGGCGGACGGGUGAGUAACGCGUGGGUAACCUGCCUCAUACAGGGGGAUAACAGUUGGAAACGGCUGCUAAUACCGCAUAAGCGCACAGUACCGCAUGGUACGGUGUGAAAAACUCCGGUGGUAUGAGAUGGACCCGCGUCUGAUUAGGUAGUUGGUGGGGUAACGGCCUACCAAGCCGACGAUCAGUAGCCGACCUGAGAGGGUGACCGGCCACAUUGGGACUGAGACACGACCCAA
rnacentral:rRNA from 1 species